rnacentral:rRNA from 1 species
UAAAGAGCUCGUAGGCGGUUUGUCACGUCUGCUGUGAAAAUCCAAGGCUCAACCUUGGACUUGCAGUGGGUACGGGCAGGCUAGAGUGCGGUAGGGGAGAUGGGAAUUCCUGGUGUAGCGGUGGAAUGCGCAGAUAUCAGGAGGAACACCAAUGGCGAAGGCACAUCUCUGGGCCGUAACUGACGCUGAGGAGCGAAAGCGUGGGGAGCGAACAGGAUUAGAUACCCUGGUAGUCCACGCCGUAAACGGUGGGUGCUAGCUGUGGGCCACAUUCCACGUGGUCCGUGACGAAGUUAACACAUUAAGCACCCCGCCUGGGGAGUACGGCCGCAAGGCUAAAACUCAAAGGAAUUGACGGGGGCCCGCACAAGCGGCGGAGCAUGCGGAUUAAUUCGAUGCAACGCGAAGAACCUUACCAAGGCUUGACAUAUAGAGGAAAAGUGCAGAAAUGCACUCCCCGCAAGGUCUCUAUACAGGUGGUGCAUGGUUGUCGUCAGCUCGUGUCGUGAGAUGUUGGGUUAAGUCCCGCAACGAGCGCAACCCUCGUCCUAUGUUGCCAGCACGUUAUGGUGGGAACUCAUGGGAUACUGCCGGGGUCAACUCGGAGGAAGGUGGGGAUGACGUCAAAUCAUCAUGCCCCUUAUGUCUUGGGCUUCACGCAUGCUACAAUGGCCGGUACAGAGGGCUGCAAUACCGCAAGGUGGAGCGAAUCCCAAAAAGCCGGUCUCAGUUCGGAUUGAGGUCUGCAACUCGACCUCAUGAAGUCGGAGUCGCUAGUAAUCGUAGAUCAGCAACGCUACGGUGAAUACGUUCCCGGGCCUUGUACACACCG